rnacentral:rRNA from 1 species
CCUACGGGCGGCAGCAGUGGGGAAUAUUGCACAAUGGGCGCAAGCCUGAUGCAGCCAUGCCGCGUGUGUGAAGAAGGCCUUCGGGUUGUAAAGCACUUUCAGCGGGGAGGAAGGCGGCGAGGUUAAUAACCUCAUCGAUUGACGUUACCCGCAGAAGAAGCACCGGCUAACUCCGUGCCAGCAGCCGCGGUAAUACGGAGGGUGCAAGCGUUAAUCGGAAUUACUGGGCGUAAAGCGCACGCAGGCGGUCUGUCAAGUCGGAUGUGAAAUCCCCGGGCUCAACCUGGGAACUGCAUUCGAAACUGGCAGGCUAGAGUCUUGUAGAGGGGGGUAGAAUUCCAGGUGUAGCGGUGAAAUGCGUAGAGAUCUGGAGGAAUACCGGUGGCGAAGGCGGCCCCCUGGACAAAGACUGACGCUCAGGUGCGAAAGCGUGGGGAGCAAACAGGAUUAGAUACCCGAGUAGUC